CGGACGGGUGAGUAACGCGUGAGUAAUUUGCCUUCGGGUGGGGAAUAACAGCCGGAAACGGCUGCUAAUACCGCAUGAUGCAGCGGCACCUCAUGGUGACAGUUGUUAAAGGGGGGGAUCCUUCGGGACCUCUCGCCUGAAGAGAAGCUCGCGGCGGAUUAGCUAGUUGGUAGGGUAACGGCCUACCAAGGCAACGAUCCGUAGCCGGCCUGAGAGGGCGGUCGGCCACACUGACACUGACACACGGGUCAGACUCCUACGGGAGGCAGCAGUCGGGAAUUUUGGGCAAUGGGCGAAAGCCUGACCCAGCAACGCCGCGUGAAGGAUGAAGUUUUUCGGAAUGUAAACUUCACAAGAAUGGGAAGAAUAAGGAGGGGUUAAUACCCCCUCCGAUGACGGUACCAUUUGUAAGCUCCGGCUAACUCCGUGCCAGCAGCCGCGGUAAUACGGGGGGAGCAAGCGUUGUUCGGAUUUACUGGGCGUAAAGGGCGCGUGGGCGGCGCAACAAGUCACUUGUGAAAUCUCCGGGCUUAACCCGGAGCGGUCAAGUGAUACUGUCGUGCUAGAGUGCGGAAGGGGCAACUGGAAUUCUCGGUGUAGCGGUGAAAUGCGUAGAUAUCGAGAGGAACACCUGCGGCGAAGGCGGGUUGCUGGGCCGACACUGACGCUGAGGCGCGAAAGCCAGGGGAGCGAAUGGGAUUAGAUACCCCAGUAGUC
rnacentral:rRNA from 1 species